GACGAACCGUCCGAACGUUAUUCGGUAUCACUGGGCUUAAAGAGUUCGUAGGCGGCCUAGUAGGUGAGGUGUGAAAUCCAACGGCUCAACCGUUGAAUUGCGCUUCAAACCGCUAGGCUCGAGGAUGGCAGGGGUGUUGGGAACUGAUGGUGGAGCGGUGAAAUGCGUUGAUAUCAUCAGGAACACCGGUGGCGAAAGCGCAACACUGGGCCAUUUCUGACGCUGAGGAACGAAAGCUAGGGUAGCGAACGGG
rnacentral:rRNA from 1 species